GGAAUCGCUAGUAAUCGGAGAUCAGCUACGCUCCGGUGAAUACGUUCCUGAGCCUUGUACACACCGCCCGUCAAGUCAUGGAAGCCGGGAGCGCCCGAAGUCGCCGCGAUUCAGCGGUGCCUACGGCGAGCUCGGUGACUGGGACUAAGUCGUAACAAGGUAGCCGUAGGGGAACCUGCGGCUGGAUCACCUCCUUUCUAAGG
rnacentral:rRNA from 1 species